rnacentral:rRNA from 1 species
UACGUAGGGGCCUAGCGUUGUCCGGAAUCAUUGGGCGUAAAGAGCUCGUAGGCGGUUCGAUUAGUCGGGUGUGAAAUCUCCACGCUCAACGUGGAGGGGCCACUCGAUACUGUCGUGACUCGAGUCCGGUAGGGGAGUUCGGAAUUCCCGGUGUAGCGGUGAAAUGCGCAGAUAUCAGGAGGAACACCGGUGGCGAAGGCGCUGCUCUGGGCCGGUACUGACGCUGAGGAGCGAAAGCGUGGGUAGCAAACAGG